AAUAAAUGUAAAAUGAGAAGAUUUAGGUAGUAAGAGUUAAGGUCUUGAAACUUAAAGAAUUUGGCGGUGUUUUAUUCUAUUCAGAGGAAUCUGUUUUAUAAUUGAUAAUACACGAUUGAAUAAACUUAAAUUAAUAAUUUGUAUAUCGCCGUCAUCAGAUUGUUUUGGUUAGAGGAAUAAAAUUAUUGGAAUAUUUUGUAGAAUAAAAUGUCAGGUCAAGGUGCAGUUUAUAUUUAAGAAUAUAAUGGAUUACAAUAAAUUAGAAUUUGAGUGGAUUGUAAAUGUGAAUAAUUUAUAUGAAAUUGGAUUUGAAAGUAAAUUGAUUUGAAAUUGAUUAAUUGAAGUAGCUCUAAGGCAUGU
rnacentral:rRNA from 1 species